rnacentral:rRNA from 1 species
UUGGUAUCUUAGUGGCGGACGGGUGAGUAACGCGUGGGUAACCUGCCUUACACUGGGGGAUAACACUUAGAAAUAGGUGCUAAUACCGCAUAACAGGGAAAGAUGCAUGUCUUUUCCUUGAAAACUCCGGUGGUGUAAGAUGGACCCGCGUCUGAUUAGCUGGUUGGCGGGGUAACGGCCCACCAAGGCGACGAUCAGUAGCCGGCCUGAGAGGGUGAACGGCCACAUUGGGACUGAGACACGGCCCAAACUCCUACGGGAGGCAGCAG